rnacentral:rRNA from 1 species
CCUACGGGGGGCAGCAGUGAGGAAUAUUGGACAAUGGACGAGACUCUGAACCAGCCACGCAGCGUGAAGGAUGACUGCCCUAUGGGUUGUAAACUUCUUUUAUAUGGGAAUAAAAUGUUCCACGUGUGGGAUUUUGUAUGUACCAUAUGAAUAAGGAUCGGCGAACUCCGUGCCAGCAGCCGCGGUAAUACGGAGGAUCCGAGCGUUAUCCGGAUUUAUUGGGUUUAAAGGGAGCGUAGGUGGAUCGUUAAGUCAGUUGUGAAAGUUUGCGGCUCAACCGUAAGAUUGCAGUUGAAACUGGCAGUCUUGAGUACAGUAGAGGUGAGCGGAAUUCGUGGUGUAGCGGUGAAAUGCUUAGAUAUCACGAAGAACUCCGGUUGCGAAGGCAGUUCACUGGACUGCAACUGACACUGAGGCUCGAAAGUGUGGGUAGCAAACAGGAUUAGAUACCCUAGUAGUC